rnacentral:lncRNA from 1 species
UUCCCCCAACCCACGCUUCACCACCCUCAGUCUCCUCAUGGAUCCUCCAAGUGGAGCAGGAGAAACCACCCUUAAUCUCCCCAGGAAUUAUGAAGGAACCCUGCCAAUGAGCUGAGUGAAGAGCCAAGCCAGCACGUUGUUGCAGUGUGGCUUCCAUUCCAAGCCAGCUGUCACAAUCUGUCUCCUGGGGAUUUCUGCUACCCCCCCACCCCAACUUGGAGGAAACAUCACAUGUUGGAGACGGCUCCUCUUCCAUAUUUGCAUCCUUCAUCGGUUCGACAGUGUAGGUCCCACUGUGGUUUCUGUGUGUGGGAUCUAUUUUAAUGAAGCCAGAAGAAAGCACAUGGAUGUUAAGCUUUAAAAAAAAAUCAUGUGGCAGUUGCAGCAUUUGGUAUUUAGCAUGCAAUAGAGUGCAGAUCACUUAGACUUUUGAACGGACAAGAAAAGGAAGGCAAACUGCAUGAAUAAGUGAGUUUUAAGUUAGGGAGUAGUGAAGGAAGGAGAAGAUUGAGUUGUCUGAAAGUGUUUGAUGUUAAAUGUUAUCAGUAUUAAAGACAGUUUUCUGUUCAUGGUGUGAAAAUCCACAUGAACUGGAUAGGACUGGAAUUUUCUAGGGUUUCCAUCAGAGGGGAGCUUAACUGACCCCUACCUGCACUGAGGACUGAGGUGGACACAGGAUAAUUACUGGGGAAAUGUACCAUUAACAAGUCUAUAGAUGAGAAGGGCCCAUACCUUUUUGUUACCAUUCAAAACAAUUUAUUCCCCAUGACAAACUGCUUCCCACUGUGAGCCUUUCAUAAGUGCUUUUGAUGUCAUAGUUUCAUAUUUCAAGCCUAAAAUAUCAUUGAAUCCUUAAUGUCCCAAUAGGCUGGAUUCCAAUCACUACAUCAGCCUCUCACAAUUGUUUUGCUUAGAGCUACAGUGAAUGCUCUUCCCUUUGAAGCUGAGCCACUCUGGAACUCUUGGAUUGAAAUUCAGUGGAAUGUACUAUGCAGGCAUUUCUAAAUAGGCCUUAAAUUCAAUGCCCACCAGGCUCCCCUAGUUUUCUUCUAGUGGAGCCCAGGUGCUUCAGUGCUGCUAUUUGCUGGCCCUCUGUGGGUCUUUAUGAGAGCGUUUGCUGCCCCAACUAGUGUCAAGACAUGUGUUUGAAAUGAGCUGAAGUACAUUUCAUUUUUCCUUACUUGAACCAUGAUUUUGCAUGUUGUAGAUAUGUCUAAAAUACUCUUUUCUCCUGCCCCAUAAACUCUACCCCAUAAGCAUAGCUUUUUUAAAAAUUAAAAAAAGUUAACUGUAUAGGAAAGAGAAGCAUAUAAAUAAGUCUUGAUACUUACAAAAAUGUCGAUGUUUAUAUGUAAAAAGAU